GGCGCACUAGUAAUAAAUAUUACAAUGUCUUGUCAAGACAAAAUUACAGGUCAAAGUCCUGUGUGCCUCA
rnacentral:tRNA from 1 species